AUUUAUGUAGAAAUCAUAACAAAAAAUACUAAUACAAAUUCUCUCUAUUUUUUCAUUUCUGCUUUUUAUAUAAUUUCAUAUUACGUUAUCAACACGAGUCUCAGCAAAAUUCCUUCAACAAGUAUUUAAAGUGAAUGCUGCAAAUUUUUAUCCAACGAGGCGUGGAAGAAGUCCUGACCCCAGUCGUGGUCGAGGUCGAGGUCGAUGUCGAGGUCGAGAUCGUGGUCGUGGAAGGUAUUUUAAUCAGAGUUAUCAUCUUGCAAUAAAUAAUAAUCCUCCACACCAGCAGUGCAAAAGGAGGGGGAAGCUCCUGAAGCAGCUACAAGGACGAAAUCUGAAAAUAAAUGUUAUCGGUGUGGAGGAAAGGGACACUGGACGCGUACCUAUCUUACACCAAAACAUCUGGUAAAAGUAUAUCAGGCGUCCCUUAAAAGGUCAGAAAAUGAUGUUGAAACAAAUUUCCUCCUAGAAGACAACGUUGAACCCAUGAACUUGGAAAUGUUAGAUUUUUCUACAGUUCCUGAAAAACAUGUAAAUCACUCUCUAGGUGAUAAUAAUGACAUAAUAUGAUUAUGUUAAUUUUUUGUUAAUAUUAUAUUAGUUUAAUUUUC